ACAGGGAGCAGCCAUCAGAGGAGGCCUGGCCUGGGGAGCUUGGAGGGGCAAUCUGCCCAAGGGUCGGGGUGGAGCUUGUGUGGCAGAAGAGGCUGCCUCCUCCUUUGUGGAGUCCUGUCUAAGAUUGCAGUGAACUUAAGGAACCUCAUCAACUGAUUGUCACUAAAGCAUUACUGACUGAUAUUUGGGUCAUGUGGAAGAAGCUAGAACAUCACGGGGCCUGUCCAGGGGAGUCUGAGGCCACAGAGGAGAUGCAGCCACAGCUGGAAAUACUGCCUAAGUGUGCCUAUCUGUUCAGUGGAGGAGUUGACCAGCCUGGUCCAAGAUGGCCAUGGAAGAAGACCCAGGUAUGUAAACUGAUUGCUCAUCCAAGCUCCUCCCAGGAAUUUGCUGCCCUCACCAUCCCUGACCACCGAUGUCUUCUCCUUCUGCUGUCCCAGACUGGUGCUGUAGUACUGUGCCCACUUCUUCUUCUUUUUUUUUUUUUUUUUUUUUGAGCGCCUCACUCUCUUGCUUAGGCUGGAGUACAAUGGUGCGAUUCUAGCUCACUGCAGCCUUCACCUCCUGAGUUCAAGCGAUUCUCCCGCCUCAGUCUCCUGAGUAGCUGGGAUUACAGGCAUGCACUACCACAACUGGCUGACUUUUGUAUUUUUAGUAGAGACGGGGUUUCACCAUGUUGGCCAGACUGGUGGCAAGCUCCUGACCUCAAGUGAUCUGCUCACCUGGGCCUCCCAAAGUGCUGGGAUUAUGGGCAUGAGCUACCAUGCCCUGCCAUGUACCCACUUCUCUCCAUAGCUGUGAGCCCAUCAGCCAUGGGCCCAGACCUGCCACCCUGUGAGGCCAGGAGCGACUCCAGCUGUCCAGGCUCCACCUUCUGCCUGGGGAUAAAGAGCCCUUUCCCCUCAGAGGACUAGGAGGCACCUCCUGGCCUUGGGCAGGGGUCCCCUUGAGCUCUGCCCUAUCUGUCCAGGACUCCUCCUUUCUUCCUCUCCAGGAAAGAAGAAUGGACCAGUUUCUAGAAAAGUUUCUAGAAAGACUCCAAAAGAGGUGCACACCGUGAGAGACUACUGGUCUCCCUCCAUGGAAGCUGAGGUCACACUGUCCCAAAGCUUCUGUAGACUCUCAGCUCUCAACCCAAGUAGGUUAAAAUGCACCCACUUCCCGCAUUAUAACACUUUGGAAUCACGUUAUAUGAGUUAAGGUGUGCUAUAUUGACAGGUUGUCCUAAUAUUACAUUUUGCAGAUGUUUAAUUAAACAUGCAGGAAUUUCAAACUUCCCAUGACUGAGCUCAA